UCGACUACAUGAAGCUGGAAUCGCUAGUAAUCGCGGAUCAGAAUGCCGCGGUGAAUACGUUCCCGGGUCUUGUACACACCGCCCGUCACACCAUGGGAGUCAGUAACGCCCGAAGCCGGUGACCCAACCAAACCUGGAGGGAGCCGUCGAAGGCGGGACGGAUGACUGGGGUGAAGUCGUAACAAGGUACC
rnacentral:rRNA from 1 species